rnacentral:tRNA from 1 species
CCGAGGUGGUGGAAUUGGCAGACACGCUACCUUGAGGGGGUAGUGCCCGCAAGGGCGUGCGGGUUCAAGUCCCGCUCUCGG